UAGGAUGACCAGCACUCACGGAUUUCCAAAAAGUGAUUAAAAAGUUAAAGUUUUAUUAAUCCAUCUCUUAAAAAGCUGCUUCAACGUUUCCUGAUGAAAGUCCCAGACGUGGACUGAAACGUUGGAACAGCUUUUUAAGAGAUGGAUUAAUAAAACUUUAACUUUUUAAUCACUUUUUGGAAAUCCGUGAGUGCUGGUCAUCCUACAUUGGU